UUUGCAUCUUUCUGACCAUUUCUUACAUAAGUAUUGUAAUUUUUGCCUUUUUAUAGAUGGGAGAAAAAGGGAGUAAGGCAUUAAUGACGAGGACAAGGUGAGGCAGAAUAAUGAGAUCAGGAAAUUAUGUGAAAUGACACAAAUUUGCUUCAUUGCAUUAGUGUCACAAUCGAUGUACAUGUACACUAACUACUACAUUUAUUUCUAUUAAUUUUGUCAUGCCUUCCAACAGUUAACUGAAUUUCUUCAUUUCUUCAUUGUAAACACUGUUAAUAUGUUGAGUAGCUGCCCUAAACUGAUCUUCUUCGACUAUUGGUGUUCGAUACAGAUGCAUGGCUCAGAUUGAUGAGAAUGUGACAGAUCAUCACUGUGACCUCUAUAGGCUGCUCAACACUUCGGUCAGAGUUUGGCAGGAUGGAAACCAGCUCAGAUCAUACCUCUCCAGAACAAGCUGUGAGGUUCUGCAGCGCUCCGAUGGAUGCCACCUUUGUGUGCUGGUUUGUGCUGACAGCAAUGAGAGAGAGAUACAUGCGGACGGUGAUGGCGCUCCAGAGCCACUCUACACCCUGAGGGCUGCCGUUCUCCUCAAGUAAUGGAUAGUCUUCAUCUGCUUCCUGAGCCUGAGCUUUUCUAUCCUCCUCAGACUCCCUGACUGCUCCUCCAUGCUGAUCAGCGAGCCAGGCUGGGAAGGUCGUCUUCCUGCAACAAACUCCAGGCUUGGCUUCCGUAUGCGGCUCUGCCAGGACAUGUCCUCGGAUUGUUCUUGAGCACCAAACCCCCCCUCUCUCGGCUUGCAGAGGGUCCUCUGAAGGGUGUGCUUCUGUAACUCCAUCCUGUUUCUCUCUGCAGGAGCAUUGUGUGGGGUGUUUGGUAAAAAAACAUCAUCUGUAUCAUCCAUGUCAUUGUUCUCAAACACAGGCUUUCUGGAGGGCUGUGUGACAGCCGACAGGCCUGCGAACCGAACCUCGGAGUGGGCGUAACGUAAAGUUAGUCUGUUCAUAUGAAAACGGUUGACUGUAGGGGCAGAGGGGAGAGUGAAAGAAUUGGACCCCCAGCAUAAAGCCGGCCUUUUAGAGGUGUAACGACAGCUUCCAUAGCCUCUGUGAAAUCGAGAUGGAUCGGUACUUGACCACUGAGAUCGGUCAACCAUCCGUGACAACCUUGUGGCUUCAUGAUUGAUGGAGAUCGUCCGCUGCAAAGUAUAGUUCAUGUCAUUAUCUCAAAUGAAUUAAGUUAGUGAUAUUAAAUGACCAUAACCAUGGAAAUAAA